GAAACCAGGUGAUCUACCCUUGGUCAGGUUGAAGUUCAGGUAACACUGAAUGGAGGACCGAACCGACUUACGUUGAAAAGUGAGCGGAUGAACUGAGGGUAGCGGAGAAAUUCCAAUCGAACCUGGAGAUAGCUGGUUCUCUCCGAAAUAGCUUUAGGGCUAGCCUCAAGUGAUGAUUAUUGGAGGUAGAGCACUGUUUGGACGAGGGGCCCCUCUCGGGUUACCGAAUUCAGACAAACUCCGAAUGCCAAUUAAUUUAACUUGGGAGUCAGAACAUGGGUGAUAAGGUCCGUGUUCGAAAGGGAAACAGCCCAGACCACCAGCUAAGGUCCCAAAAUAUAUGUUAAGUGGAAAAGGAUGUGGCGUUGCCCAGACAACUAGGAUGUUGGCUUAGAAGCAGCCAUCAUUUAAAGAGUGCGUAAUAGCUCACUAGUCGAGUGACACUGCGCCGAAAAUGUACCGGGGCUAAACAUAUUACCGAAGCUGUGGAUUGUCCUUUGGACAAUGGUAGGAGAGCGUUCUAAGGGCGUUGAAGCAUGAUCGUAAGGACAUGUGGAGCGCUUAGAAGUGAGAAUGCCGGUGUGAGUAGCGAAAGACGGGUGAGAAUCCCGUCCACCGAUUGACUAAGGUUUCCAGAGGAAGGCUCGUCCGCUCUGGGUUAGUCGGGUCCUAAGCUGAGGCCGACAGGCGUAGGCGAUGGAUAACAGGUUGAUAUUCCUGUACCACCUAUAAUCGUUUUAAUCGAUGGGGGGACGCAGUAGGAUAGGCGAAGCGUGCGAUUGGAUUGCACGUCUAAUCAGUAAGGCUGAGUAUUAGGCAAAUCCGGUACUCGUUAAGGCUGAGCUGUGAUGGGGAGAAGACAUUGAGUCUUCGAGUCGUUGAUUUCACACUGCCGAGAAAAGCCUCUAGAUAGAAAAUAGGUGCCCGUACCGCAAACCGACACAGGUAGUCAAGAUGAGAAUUCUAAGGUGAGCGAGCGAACUCUCGUUAAGGAACUCGGCAAAAUGACCCCGUAACUUCGGGAGAAGGGGUGCUCUUUAGGGUUAACGCCCAGAAGAGCCGCAGUGAAUAGGCCCAAGCGACUGUUUAUCAAAAACACAGGUCUCUGCUAAACCGUAAGGUGAUGUAUAGGGGCUGACGCCUGCCCGGUGCUGGAAGGUUAAGAGGAGUGGUUAGCUUCUGCGAAGCUACGAAUCGAAGCCCCAGUAAACGGCGGCCGUAACUAUAACGGUCCUAAGGUAGCGAAAUUCCUUGUCGGGUAAGUUCCGACCCGCACGAAAGGCGUAACGAUUUGGGCACUGUCUCAACGAGAGACUCGGUGAAAUCAUAGUACCUGUGAAGAUGCAGGUUACCCGCGACAGGACGGAAAGACCCCGUGGAGCUUUACUGUAGCCUGAUAUUGAAAUUCGGCACAGCUUGUACAGGAUAGGUAGGAGCCUUUGAAACGUGAGCGCUAGCUUACGUGGAGGCGCUGGUGGGAUACUACCCUAGCUGUGUUGGCUUUCUAACCCGCACCACUUAUCGUGGUGGGAGACAGUGUCAGGCGGGCAGUUUGACUGGGGCGGUCGCCUCCUAAAAGGUAACGGAGGCGCUCAAAGGUUCCCUCAGAAUGGUUGGAAAUCAUUCAUAGAGUGUAAAGGCAUAAGGGAGCUUGACUGCGAGACCUACAAGUCGAGCAGGGUCGAAAGACGGACUUAGUGAUCCGGUGGUUCCGCAUGGAAGGGCCAUCGCUCAACGGAUAAAAGCUACCCCGGGGAUAACAGGCUUAUCUCCCCCAAGAGUUCACAUCGACGGGGAGGUUUGGCACCUCGAUGUCGGCUCAUCGCAUCCUGGGGCUGUAGUCGGUCCCAAGGGUUGGGCUGUUCGCCCAUUAAAGCGGUACGCGAGCUGGGUUCAGAACGUCGUGAGACAGUUCGGUCCCUAUCCGUCGUGGGCGUAGGAAAUUUGAGAGGAGCUGUCCUUAGUACGAGAGGACCGGGAUGGACAUACCUCUGGUGUACCAGUUGUCGUGCCAACGGCAUAGCUGGGUAGCUAUGUGUGGACGGGAUAAGUGCUGAAAGCAUCUAAGCAUGAAGCCCCCCUCAAGAUGAGAUUUCCCAACUUCGGUUAUAAGAUCCCUCAAAGAUGAUGAGGUUAAUAGGUUCGAGGUGGAAGCAUGGUGACAUGUGGAGCUGACGAAUACUAAUCGAUCGAAGACUUAAUCAA
rnacentral:rRNA from 1 species